GACGAACGCUGGCGGCGUGCUUAACACAUGCCAGUCGAACGGAAAGGCCCUGCUUUUGUGGGGUGCUCGAGUGGCGAACGGGUGAGUAACACGUGAGUAACCUGCCCUUGACUUUGGUAUAACUUCAGGAAACUGGGGCUAAUACCGGAUAGGAGCUCCUGCUGCAUGGUGGGGGUUGGAAAGUUUCGGCGGUUGGGGAUGGACUCGCGGCUUAUCAGCUUGUUGGUGGGGUAGUGGCUGACCAAGGAUUUGGCGGGUAGCCGGCCUGGGAGGGUGACCGGCCACAUUGGGACUGAGAGACGGCCCAGACGGCUACGGGAGGCAGCAGUGGGGAAUAUUGCACAAUGGGCGGAAGCCUGAUGCAGCAACGCCGCGUGCGGGAUGACGGCCUUCGGGUUGUAAACCGCUUUCGCCUGUGACGAAGCGUGAGUGACGGUAAUGGGUAAAGAAGCACCGGCUAACUACGUG
rnacentral:rRNA from 1 species